rnacentral:tRNA from 1 species
GGUCGGAUGGUGUAGUUGUUAGUCUACCGCCUCCAAUCAUCGACUUAAGUACUCACAGUAUACAGGGUUAUCACGUCUCCUUAACACGGAGAAGGUCCCGGGUUCGAGUCCCUGUCUGAUCA